rnacentral:rRNA from 1 species
UGACCUCAAAUCAGGAGGACAACGAC